UCAUAAUACACAGUGACAUUUCAAGUUUGUAUUUCGAGCCGUAACGUAUUUGAUUCAAGUUUUUUAACUAAAAAAAGGUUGUAUUUAACAUAUUUGUUUAACAUUUUAGUAUUUUUUUUGUUUGUGCUAACUAUAUAAGAUUGAUUCUUCUGAUCCUUUUCGCCUAAUUUCCCACAAGUAUUUUACAAUUUUAGGUUUGUUUUUAUAUAUACUUCUUCUGUCCCAUAUUAUAAGCAAAACAAAAUUUCACACUUAUUAAAAAAAGUAAAAUAUGAUAAUUUGAUGUAUGACUUUUUUAGUUUUCAAGUUUCAUGGGAAAAUAUAAAAAAAAAAAUUAUUGAUUAUGGGAAAAAAAUAGUAAAUUAAAUGCAAUUUGAAUUAAAUUUAAUGACAAUAUGUAAGAGUAAAUUUUGAAAAUGAUAAAAGUAAAUUUAUUUUGCUUAUAAUUUGGAAAAGAAAAAAAAAAGUGAUUUGGUUUUGCUUAUAAUAUGAACCGAGGGAAUAGUUGUCUUACUUGAUUAUACCAAUUAGUAAUAUAUUCCCCUCAUACUACGAACCAACAUUGUUG
rnacentral:lncRNA from 1 species